CACGUCAGCGCGCUUUGCUGACGUGGCAACAAAUCACGUCCACGAGGGGCGAUUUGUUGCCACGUCAGCAAAAGCGUUGACGUGG
rfam:Gossypium raimondii Chr08_contig_1055, whole genome shotgun sequence.